CUGCGAAAAAGCAGCCGGUAACCGCGUCCUGGCACCGGUACCCGCGCUGGAUGGAGCGGGGCUGAUAAGGAGCGCCCGGGCUGCUGGACCCGGCGGCUGUGCCGUGGCCAGGCAGCCAGGGGGAUUGUGUGGCUUUCUUCCAGAGUCACUUGAAAAAAAGCAGUUGUCUGAAGACUCAGGUCUUAAACCAAAACAGGCCUUUUUUUGCCUUGAACUUAAGUUACAGUAGGACAUUUGCUAUUGCAGGAUUAAUUUCAGCCCUCAGCAGCUCAGAGGCAGAAAAAACAAAACAAGAAACCCAGCGAGUCACAGGCCACAGCUACACUUACUUCACCAAAAUGUUAACGGGACUCCAGUGACACACUCUGCUAGCCAAAAGUUCUGGGUCAUAAAGUGCAGAAGACAAGCAUUUGUUAAGAGUGAGAGCCGCCUUUCCAGACACCAAGCACAAACCACCCCACGUGCCAACCCGAUGGCCACAGCAAGCACGUCUGCCCACAGUCAUGUGCAUCCCCUGGGAAAAUCCACCUGGAUUAGCCUAGCAGCUUCCUUUGCCUGGAGCUCUGGGAGAGCAAGCCAGGGUUUCCCUCACUGCAUCCUCUGCGCAGUGCAAAGGAGCCAGGCACUGGGGAGCAGCGUCCAGCCUCCUGCGUAUGUAGGUGAGGUCAGUCACCCAGGGCAUGGAUACACUGGGACACCUGCGCUACUAAAACUGGCCCUGCUCCUAGGUGAAGGAGAUGUGACCCACCCAGCCAGAAAGCUUUGGCGUCCUUUCGCUCCAGAGCAGCAUUUCUUUUUGCUCCUACAUCUGCUGCCACAACAGGAGAGAGCGCCAACAAUCCCAGGAAGGUGAGCAGCAUAAAUGCCUGAAAUUCAAAACACAGAGGAGGCAGAGCCCAACCUACUUCGCAAUGCUUCCUCCCACGAAGAUGGGGGAUAAUGACAACACGCGCUACAAAAGCCCUCUGCUGAUGCCAAAGCAAUUUAUCGAUAGCGCACUUUUCCGCCACGAACACAGAGUAGACUGUGAAAUGCAACCACCUCUCAGACAGGAGACGGGUGCUUUUCGGCGGAGCAUCAUAGACCGCAGCAACAGCACAAUCCAAAAAACACUGACUUUUAGCAAGUUAAAGCCGGAGAGAAAUUUUGACAGAGAGAACAGUUGCCCAACAGCAAUGAAAACAAGGGUCCAGAACUGAGAGAGCAUUCACAUACACACCCCGAAAAAUUUGCUUUGUGCUCCUGUGUGAUCGGGAGUACCUGUGCCUGCAUGAAGAGCAGCUUUUCUAGAAAGACAGCCAUCACUCCUGUAUUUUGCUGCUAUUUUAAUAUAAUCCUAAAAUGAAAA